rnacentral:misc_RNA from 1 species
GAUGAAGAACGUAGCGAAAUGCGAUAAGUAGUGUGAAUUGCAGAAUUCAGUGAAUCAUCGAAUCUUUGAACGCACAUUGCGCCCCUUGGUAUUCCAUGGGGCAUGCCUGUUCGAGCGUCAUUUGUACCCUCAAGCUUUGCUUGGUGUUGGGUGUUUGUCCCGCGUUGCGCGUGGACUCGCCUUAAAGCGAUUGGCAGCCGGCAUAUUGGCCUUGGAGCGCAGCACAUUUUGCGCUUCUAGUCAUGAAUGUUGGCGUCCAUUAAGCCUAUACAUUUGCUCUUGACCUCGGAUCAGGUAGGGAUACCCGCUGAACUUAAGCAUAUCAAUAAGCGAGGA